rnacentral:rRNA from 1 species
UACGUAGGGGGCAAGCGUUGUCCGGAAUCAUUGGGCGUAAAGCGCACGUAGGCGGCCCGGUAAGUCCGUUGUGAAAGUCAGAGGCUCAACCUCUGGAGGCCAAUGGAUACUGCCGGGCUAGAGUCCGGAAGAGGCGAGUGGAAUCCUGGUGUAGCGGUGGAAUGCGCAGAUAUCAGGAGGAACACCAAUGGCGAAGGCAGCUCGCUGGGACGGUAUUGACGCUGAGGUGCGAAAGCGUGGGGAGCGAACAGG